rnacentral:rRNA from 1 species
ACGGAGGGUGCAAGCGUUAUUCGGAAUUACUGGGCGUAAAGGGCGUGCAGGCGGGAGAGUAAGUCUGAUGUGAAAGCCCGGGGCUUAACCCCGGAAGGGCAUUGGAAACUGGUUUUCUUGAGUUCUGGAGAGGAAAGUGGAAUUCCCGGUGUAGAGGUGAAAUUCGUAGAGAUCGGGAGGAACACCAGUGGCGAAGGCGCCUUUCUGGACAUCAACUGACGCUGAGACGCGAGAGCGUGGGUAGCAAACAG